rnacentral:tRNA from 1 species
ACCCGAGUGGCGAAAUGGUUACCGCGUCUGCCUUCUAAGCAGAAGACUGAGGGUUCGAGUCCCUCCUUGGGUU